UUGGGGGCUUUUCCUGAGGAGGGAGAAGGGACUGAUGUGGCCUGUCAGUCCCUCCUCCCUCCUCGGGGAAAAGCCCCCAA